CUGAGUGAGGGUCUUUCUGGCCCGACCUCCAACCCUUUGUUUAUUAUACCAUGUUGCUUUGGCAGGCCUGUCUUUCGGGGCUGUCGGGGGCGCUACUGCCCCUGAACCGUGCCUGCCAGGAGCCUUCCUUAAAUUCUGUGUUUAACUGUGCUGUCUGAGCCCCAAUAACAAAAUAUACA
rnacentral:misc_RNA from 1 species